GGGUUGUGAGGUUAAGCGACUAAGCGUACACGGUGGAUGCCCUGGCAGUCAGAGGCGAUGAAGGACGUGCUAAUCUGCGAUAAGCGUCGGUAAGGUGAUAUGAACCGUUAUAACCGGCGAUUUCCGAAUGGGGAAACCCAGUGUGWUUCGWCACACUAUCAUUAACUGAAUCCAUAGGUUAAUGAGGCGAACCGGGGGAACUGAAACAUCUAAGUACCCCGAGGAAAAGAAAUCAACCGAGAUUCCCCCAGUAGCGGCGAGCGAACGGGGAGCAGCCCAGAGCCUGAAUCAGUGUGUGUGUUAGUGGAAGCGUCUGGAAAGGCGCGCGAUACAGGGUGACAGCCCCGUACACAAAAAUGCACAURCUGUGAGCUCGAUGAGUAGGGCGGGACACGUGGUAUCCUGUCUGAAUAUGGGGGGACCAUCCUCCAAGGCUAAAUACUCCUGACUGACCGAUAGUGAACCAGUACCGUGAGGGAAAGGCGAAAAGAACCCCGGCGAGGGGAGUGAAAAAGAACCUGAAACCGUGUACGUACAAGCAGUGGGAGCACGCUUAGGCGUGUGACUGCGUACCUUUUGUAUAAUGGGUCAGCGACUUAUAUUCUGUAGCAAGGUUAACCGAAUAGGGGAGCCGAAGGGAAACCGAGUCUUAACUGGGCGUUAAGUUGCAGGGUAUAGACCCGAAACCCGGUGAUCUAGCCAUGGGCAGGUUGAAGGUUGGGUAACACUAACUGGAGGACCGAACCGACUAAUGUUGAAAAAUUAGCGGAUGACUUGUGGCUGGGGGUGAAAGGCCAAUCAAACCGGGAGAUAGCUGGUUCUCCCCGAAAGCUAUUUAGGUAGCGCCUCGUGAAUUCAUCUCCGGGGGUAGAGCACUGUUUCGGCAAGGGGGUCAUCCCGACUUACCAACCCGAUGCAAACUGCGAAUACCGGAGAAUGUUAUCACGGGAGACACACGGCGGGUGCUAACGUCCGUCGUGAAGAGGGAAACAACCCAGACCGCCAGCUAAGGUCCCAAAGUCAUGGUUAAGUGGGAAACGAUGUGGGAAGGCCCAGACAGCCAGGAUGUUGGCUUAGAAGCAGCCAUCAUUUAAAGAAAGCGUAAUAGCUCACUGGUCGAGUCGGCCUGCGCGGAAGAUGUAACGGGGCUAAACCAUGCACCGAAGCUGCGGCAGCGACGCUUAUGCGUUGUUGGGUAGGGGAGCGUUCUGUAAGCCUGYGAAGGUGURCUGUGAGGYAUGCUGGAGGUAUCAGAAGUGCGAAUGCUGACAUAAGUAACGAUAAAGCGGGUGAAAAGCCCGCUCGCCGGAAGACCAAGGGUUCCUGUCCAACGUUAAUCGGGGCAGGGUGAGUCGACCCCUAAGGCGAGGCCGAAAGGCGUAGUCGAUGGGAAACAGGUUAAUAUUCCUGUACUUGGUGUUACUGCGAAGGGGGGACGGAGAAGGCUAUGUUGGCCGGGCGACGGUUGUCCCGGUUUAAGCGUGUAGGCUGGUUUUCCAGGCAAAUCCGGAAAAUCAAGGCUGAGGCGUGAUGACGAGGCACUACGGUGCUGAAGCAACAAAUGCCCUGCUUCCAGGAAAAGCCUCUAAGCAUCAGGUAACAUCAAAUCGUACCCCAAACCGACACAGGUGGUCAGGUAGAGAAUACCAAGGCGCUUGAGAGAACUCGGGUGAAGGAACUAGGCAAAAUGGUGCCGUAACUUCGGGAGAAGGCACGCUGAUAUGUAGGUGAAGUCCCUCGCGGAUGGAGCUGAAAUCAGUCGAAGAUACCAGCUGGCUGCAACUGUUUAUUAAAAACACAGCACUGUGCAAACACGAAAGUGGACGUAUACGGUGUGACGCCUGCCCGGUGCCGGAAGGUUAAUUGAUGGGGUYAGCGCAAGCGAAGCUCUUGAUCGAAGCCCCGGUAAACGGCGGCCGUAACUAUAACGGUCCUAAGGUAGCGAAAUUCCUUGUCGGGUAAGUUCCGACCUGCACGAAUGGCGUAAUGAUGGCCAGGCUGUCUCCACCCGAGACUCAGUGAAAUUGAACUCGCUGUGAAGAUGCAGUGUACCCGCGGCAAGACGGAAAGACCCCGUGAACCUUUACUAUAGCUUGACACUGAACAUUGAGCCUUGAUGUGUAGGAUAGGUGGGAGGCUUKGAAGUGUGGACGCCAGUCUGCAUGGAGCCGACCUUGAAAUACCACCCUUUAAUGUUUGAUGUUCUAACGUKGACCCGURAUCCGGGUUGCGGACAGUGUCUGGUGGGUAGUUUGACUGGGGCGGUCUCCUCCUAAAGAGUAACGGAGGAGCACGAAGGUUGGCUAAUCCUGGUCGGACAUCAGGAGGUUAGUGCAAUGGCAUAAGCCAGCUUGACUGCGAGCGUGACGGCGCGAGCAGGUGCGAAAGCAGGUCAUAGUGAUCCGGUGGUUCUGAAUGGAAGGGCCAUCGCUCAACGGAUAAAAGGUACUCCGGGGAUAACAGGCUGAUACCGCCCAAGAGUUCAUAUCGACGGCGGUGUUUGGCACCUCGAUGUCGGCUCAUCACAUCCUGGGGCUGAAGUAGGUCCCAAGGGUAUGGCUGUUCGCCAUUUAAAGUGGUACGCGAGCUGGGUUUAGAACGUCGUGAGACAGUUCGGUCCCUAUCUGCCGUGGGCGCUGGAGAACUGAGGGGGGCUGCUCCUAGUACGAGAGGACCGGAGUGGACGCAUCACUGGUGUUCGGGUUGUCAUGCCAAUGGCACUGCCCGGUAGCUAAAUGCGGAAGAGAUAAGUGCUGAAAGCAUCUAAGCACGAAACUUGCCCCGAGAUGAGUUCUCCCUGACUCCUUGAGAGUCCUGAAGGAACGUUGAAGACGACGACGUUGAUAGGCCGGGUGUGUAAGCGCAGCGAUGCGUUGAGCUAACCGGUACUAAUGAACCGUGAGGCUUAACCUUACAACGCCGAAGGUGUUU
rnacentral:rRNA from 1 species